UGGUGGAAGGGCCUGAGAUAGAUGAUGAUUUUACUCGAGGGGCCGGUGAUGUUAGGCACCGUAAUUCUUCAGCGCCAAGAUCUGCGGCUUGGUCAAAGGUUACCGAACAGGCGGUAAAAAAACAGAUUGCUGUUCCGGUUAUUGAGAAAGAGGCUGUUGAGACGCGGAACGCAUUUCAGGCUCUUGACUUGGAGAAUAAUGCGGAGACUGUUUUGGAUAUGGG
rnacentral:lncRNA from 1 species